GUUACGUACAUCGUCUAAAGAGUUAUCGAGGAUUUAUGAUCGGCUGGCGGGAAGUUGGGAGUGGUGUGGUGUUCAUAGUAUUGCGUAUGGUGGUUGGGCUGAUAGUUCAAGUGGUGAACGUUUUUAUACUAGUAUUAAAUUUUAUAGGAACAUAUCAUAUGGGAUUCAAUUAUUGGUUAUAUGUCAGGCCCUUACACUAUUACUUUCAGCAAUAUUACAUUUUCUAUUUCCUUCGAAGACUGACGAUCUUAAAGCCACUAUUAGGAAGGAGAAACAAAUCAAGCAAAAAUUCUAUAUCCGC